rnacentral:rRNA from 1 species
AACACCGUGCUGCAUCUAUAAUGCAGUCGAGCGAUGGAUUAAGAGCUUGCUCUUAUGAAGUUAGCGGCGGACGGGUGAGUAACACGUGGGUAACCUGCCCAUAAGACUGGGAUAACUCCGGGAAACCGGGGCUAAUACCGGAUAACAUUUUGAACCGCAUGGUUCGAAAUUGAAAGGCGGCUUCGGCUGUCACUUAUGGAUGGACCCGCGUCGCAUUAGCUAGUUGGUGAGGUAACGGCUCACCAAGGCAACGAUGCGUAGCCGACCUGAGAGGGUGAUCGGCCACACUGGGACUGAGACACGGCCCAGACUCCUACGGGAGGCAGCAGUAGGGAAUCUUCCGCAAUGGACGAAAGUCUGACGGAGCAACGCCGCGUGAGUGAUGAAGGCUUUCGGGUCGUAAAACUCUGUUGUUAGGGAAGAACAAGUGCUAGUUGAAUAAGCUGGCACCUUGACGGUACCUAACCAGAAAGCCACGGCUAACUACGUGCCAGCAGCCGCGGUAAUACGUAGGUGGCAAGCGUUAUCCGGAAUUAUUGGGCGUAAAGCGCGCGCAGGUGGUUUCUUAAGUCUGAUGUGAAAGCCCACGGCUCAACCGUGGAGGGUCAUUGGAAACUGGGAGACUUGAGUGCAGAAGAGGAAAGUGGAAUUCCAUGUGUAGCGGUGAAAUGCGUAGAGAUAUGGAGGAACACCAGUGGCGGACGCGACUUUCUGGUCUGUAACUGACACUGAGCGCGAAAGCGUGGGGAGCAAACAGGAUUAGAUACUCUGGUAGUCCCACGCCGUAAACGAUGAGUGCUAAGUGUUAGAGGGUUUCUGCCUCUUUUAGUGCUGAAGUUAACGCAUUAAGCACUCCGUCUGGGGAGUACGGCCGCAAGGCUGAAACUCAAAGGAAUUGACGGGGGCCCGCACAAGCGGUGGAGCAUGUGGUUUA